rnacentral:rRNA from 1 species
GACAGAGGUGCCGAGCGUUAGGCGGAAUCACUGGGCUUAAAGCGUGUGUAGGCGGGCGGGCAAGUACCUUGUGAAAUCCCACGGACUCAACCGUGGAACGGCUGGGUAGUACUGCCUGUCUUGAGCCAAGCUAGGGGCGAGCGGAACAGACGGUGGAGCGGUGAAAUGCGUAGAUAUCGUCUGGAACGCCGAAGGUGAAAACAGCUCGCUGGGGUUCGUGCUGACGCUGAGACACGAAAGCCAGGGAGGCGAACGGG